rnacentral:lncRNA from 1 species
GAUGACUGACUGCAGCAUUUGUGAUGAAUGAAAUCAGUAGCCCCUCUGCUGAUGAUCCUUUGCUGCCGGUCUGCCGGAUACUGCACACAGACAGGAACAACCAAGAUACAAUGUCAUAUGUGUGAGGGGACGGCCUUUUUACAUUCAAGUAUGUUAGAUAUUUGCCUUUUAUGUGUGAAUUAAUUGUGGAAUUUUACUUUUGAGUUGCAAUUUGUUAAAUCCAUGUCUUCUUAGGUGGGGAGGAAAGUCAUAUAUACCGUGUCAAAUUUGAGAUUUGAGGGAAGCUAACUGGCCUUCUUCGUGAUAUCUGUAUUUCCGAUUUUAUUUGCUUUGUUGGUUUGUUUCAUGAUCUGUUUUUCUGGCCGCUAAACAGAAAUUAGGAUUUAAUAGAACAGGUAAGUAAAAUAGAGGUGAUAUGUCUAGAGACUGGAAACAAAUCCUCUUCUGUUUUGUGGUCUGUCAGAUUCUUCUGGUAGUCCGAAGAUCCCCGAAUUCCUUAAAAUUGGACCAUGGUUCGCAGAAUGCAAGAUGUAAUCUUUGAACUUGUAUAUGGCUACUGUAUACAGAAUUGCAUAAUCAUAGAAAGAUUGUGCUUGGAGGAUUAAAGAUACACCCUAAAAAGGGAAGUUUAAUUGCACGUCAAUCUGUUGAUAAUAUGAAAUGGGUCUUUUUCUUGAACUAGUAUAUGGUGUUAUGUUAAACGUGUUACACAUAUAUUGCCCUUUCAUGCUACAACAACAACAUACUCAGUGAAAUCCCACUAAGUAGGGUCUACGAAGGAUAGAGUAUACACAGACCUUACCACUACCUCGUGGAAGUAGAGAGGUUGUUUCCGAAAGACCCUCGGCUCAAGUGCGUCAAAUUCAAGUAAAAGAAGAAGACAAUGAAGAAAACAUAGCAGUUAAAUAAGAAAAGCAGUGUAUAGUCGAUAAAAAAGCAAUAACAACAACAAAAUAGUGGGGGUCAUGUACCCUUUCAUGCUACAUGAGCAAAAAUACCUUGAACUGCAAUUUAUUUCAUUAGAAUCAUUGCAUGUUCUUGCUAUUAUUGUGAAAAAGACUGAGUAGCUAUAAUAGGUUACAGGAAAAAUACUAUUUUGUAUUUCUGGGAUGCGCUACUUAGGAAUAUGUUCGUGUUUCGGAGGCCAGUUUAUGCUGAAAAGACACCUUUUUAGAUUUCAUAAACCAUACCAACUUGAAGUGUUUUAUCUGGUGGAAUUUGAAGUGCAGAAAUAGCUGCCCUGCUAUUCUUCUGAAGAAACCUGUACAAGUACUCUAUAGUGAAGCGAGCAAACCAACCUUUAUUUGCUUUGAGAAUGGUUCUUCCUAACACAAAAACGGGUCCUCUUUCAGCAGCUGCAUCUAUUUUUCGUUUUUCACUAGUAGACUCGGCUUGGUCUUGGAGUUUUGUGAUCAUUAAAGUAACAAAGUCAUCUCCUUCCAUGCUUUGAGAAUCCUUAUAUCCAAACUGAAUCAAACACCGAUAAAAUCCUUCAACUCCCGUCUUCCCCACAUUGUAACGUUCCUCCACCAGGACGGUUUUGAUGGGAAGAGUUCUAACAGUGACAAUUACCAGGAUUUCUCUUACAGAAUUUGUGUGCUGAAUGUAAUGACAGAUUAUGGGUGGAAUGCCAUUUCUGAGAUCAGUGAAAAAGAAGCAAAUUCCUGGUGCUCGGUAUGUACUAUAGCUUGAUAGCAUUUGGUCUAGAUCAGGUAAACUCAUCUUUCUAUCUGCUUCAUAUUCUUUUUUCUUACUCCUUCCAUAUGUCCAAGAUAGCAUGAUAGUCAAGAAGAAAGCAGAAAUAGCAAAUGGCACCCAUCCUCCUUGUGGUAUUUUAUUGAGCAAAGAUGUCAUGAAACAACCUUCAAUUAUUAUAUAAGGCAAGAAAAAUGCCAAAAUGAGAAUGAUAUUUGUCUUCCAUAUGAUUAGCAUCACUAAUGCUGUCAAGAAUGUUGUUAUGAUCAGGGGCGGACCCACGUGGAGGUCAGGGGGUUCACCCGAACCCCCUCAUCGAAAAAUUACACUGUAUAUAUAAGGUCUAUUUCUGAUUUUAUGAGUACAUAUAUUAAAAUGAACCCCCUCAAUUUUUAAGAGAGGCAUGGCUCAGUGGUUAAGGGGUUCAACUCUAACCAAGAGGGUCUGGGUUCGAUUCCCACUUGCAACAUUUUUCCAUUUGUUUUUUUUUCUUUGAAAGGUUGAAUGGGCUCUUGCUUUGGGCUCAAAUCCAAUUCCAUUUCAUUGUUUUUAGAAGGCUGUAUGGGCUCUGGUUUCGGGCUCAAAUCCCAACUCAAUGAAAUGUCUCACUAUUUGAUUAUUAUUAAAUUUGAAAUUGAUUUACAAAAAUAUUAUAUAAAAAUAAAUUAAAUUAAAGUUAAUCGAAUGAAGAAAUUUAAAAGUCGUGUAUAAUCUUUUAAUAAAAUCUAAUUAAUUGAUUCCCGCCCCUCCCCCCCCUCUUAAAUUUAUAGUAUUUCUUUCUUAUUUUUUUUCAGUUUGAUUUUAAAAAGAUGAAAACUAAACUAAACUUAUUUGUUCUAUUCAUCAUUUGAUGAAUUAUUAUUAAAUUUGAAAUUGAUUUACAAAAAUAUUAUAUAAAAAUAAAUUAAAUUAAAGUUAAUCGAAUGAAGAAAUUUAAAAGUCGUGUAUAAUCUUUUAAUAAAAUCUAAUUAAUUGAUUCCCGCCCCUCCCCCCCCUCUUAAAUUUAUAGUAUUUCUUUCUUAUUUUUUUUCAGUUUGAUUUUAAAAAGAUGAAAACUAAACUAAACUUAUUUGNNNNNNNNNNNNNNNNNNNNNNNNNNNNNNNNNNNNNNNNNNNNNNNNNNNNNNNNNNNNNNNNNNNNNNNNNNNNNNNNNNNNNNNNNNNNNNNNNNNNUAAACUUAUUGGAUUCAGAUUACUAGUUUCCUCCUAUAUCUCGCUCAGUUUUUUAUCUUGUAAUUUUCACAUGUUUACUUCUUUAUAUUUCGAACCCCCUCCACAGAAAUCCUGGAUCCGCCACAGUUGACACCCCUUCGUUAGAAAACUAUAUUGUAUAGAUAGGUAACUUAUUUAUUUUAUAUAUAUGUGUUAUGAUAUUGAUAUCCUUUGAAUUCUUCAUGAAUUUACUUAUUUAUAUUUUGACAUUUCUUUAUGAAAAUUCUGAUUCGAACACUAAAAAUAACUAUCAAUAUUAAAUGACUGAUGACGACGAUCAUGCAUGAUAAAAGGAUGAUCAAGUGAACAACUCUAUCGACAAUUGCAUUGGGUAUCAAAUAAGGAUAAUAUACUUAAUAAUAUUGAUAUUUUUCUUUCUUUAUAGAAUAGAAUAAUGAGUUGGCACCUUUUUGAAGUUUCUUUUUAAGCACGUCGCCAAAAGUCAAAAUUCUUUUGGAUAUCCCUUUCUAUGGACGUCAUUUAGAUUUUGUCAUCUAUUAAUGAUUUUGUGCCAAUUAUUUAUAAGAUCGCAUAAGAUAUAAACGUUCUUUUUAACUUGACCUCAAUUGAUAUUUAUCUAUGUUUUUUAAUUUUGAAUGUAUAUAAGUAGACACUUGAAUUUGUACAAAAUUGAACAAAUAGACACAUUCAUCUUACGUGGCAUCCUACAAGUCAACUGUGUGUCCUACAUAUAUAUUAUGUCACGUAGGAUACAUAUAUAUAUCUAGGAAAAGUUAAUCCACAUAUACAUAUAAAAACAUAUAUUACAUCGUAUAUACGUAGAAAUUAGUAAUAUAACAAAAUAAUUACUAGUGAUGACAGAUUUGGAUUAUUUAAUAAUUAAUUUAAUUAUAUUUGAAUUAUUUAAUAAUUAUAUUUUUUUUGCUUUAGUGCAAAUAAGAAGCGUGCAAUUUUUGUAGUAGUACGUACCUAGGAUAUGAUCAUGACCCAGAUGACCACCACCCCUGUAGUUGAAAAAGAAAAGUUAGUUCCAUUUCUCAGCGAAGUACGCUUUAUUUGGACUUCCAGUUGUGGUUUAACUUAACAACAACAACAACAGAUCUAGUGUGAUCCCACACUUGUCUGGAGAGGUGGGUGGUAUGCAGACUGUACCCUACCUUUGCGAGGUAGAGAGGUUGCUUACGAUAAGACCCUCUCGGCUCAAGAAAAGCGUUUUUCAAACAUUUUUAUACUAUUAAUUUUACUCGUUUGGAAACCGACUCUCUACCUCCACGAGGUAGCGUAAGGUCUGUGUACACUCUACCCUCCCUAGACCUCACCUGUGUGAUUACACUAGGUAUGUUAUUGUUGUUGUUGAAUUAAUAAUAAUUUUACUGAUUAUAACAGGUUAUUUACCAUUGUUACAGAUUAUUAACCCAUUCUUGCUAUAAAAAGUUGCAUAUAAUUGGUUAUUUUAAGUAGCAUGAUAGUAUUAGAUUUUUAAGUUGUCGGUGUACAAAAAGAAAUCUGAGUGAUGCUUACCAUAGGCAUUUGCUAGUUCAACACCUCCUUUGAAACCAAGAACGAGAGUGACACAAAGAAUCAUGAGGAUGUAGUUUACCUCUGGGGAAUAGAUUUGUCCUUCAUGCUUGGAUGAAGUAUGUAUAAUGUUUACUCGAGGGAAGCAUCCAAGAGCAAGUGAUUGCUUUACAAUGGAAAAAGUUGCUGAUAUCAUGGACUGGCUAGCAACCACGGCAGCUAGAGUUGAGAUUACAAACAUUGGCCAGUAAACAGGUUUUGGUAGGGAACUGUAAUAAGCAUUGUUGAUAUUCUCUGGAUACCUCACUAGAUAAGCUGUUUCUCCGGCAUAGCUGAGAACUAGGGAUGGAUAAACUACAAAAGAAAAUGCCAACUGCAAGACUCAUUGUACAGAAAUGCCAUCAAUCAGAUUAACUUUUCUAAUGGUAGAUUAGAGUUCUUUGUUCCUUACCUGAAUUGCUCUUUUAUUGAAAUGACCUAAAUCAGCAAACAUGGCUUCCGCUCCUGCAUGACAGUUUAAAACAUGUCGGAAGUGAACUAAUUUUCUCCUAUUUCAUAUGCUUUUCUUUUAUCUUUUUUUUCCCCUCAAAAUUAGUUGUAAAGUUAAACCUGUAAUGCUUAGAAAUACUGCACCGAGAAGAUUCCAAGCAGUCUUUCCAUUUCUUGAAACAAAUUUCACUAUGUAGUGUGGAGAAAUGGCUUUAAGAACGGAUGGAUAGUACUCCAAAAUAUUGUAGAUACCGACUGAAACAUUGGUAGCAAACCACAAUAACAUUACGGGUGUGAAGCAGAAGCUAACUUUGCUUGUUCCACAGCGUUGAAAAGUGAAAAGUGCGAUUAACAUAAUCACAGACAUGAAAACCACAUGAUCUGCAGCCAAUAGAACUUUCAUUAAACCUCACGUUUUGGUGAGUAAAUGGAAGCAGAUCUGAACUAGCAAUAGAACUGUCUUUUGAAAAUUAUUUUGACUUUACCUUGUGUUAUCUUGGAAGAGAGAGAUUGAAUUCCUUGCAGGGCUGAGAGAACUGAUGUAACAAGUGUAUGGACAUGAGGCAACGUCGAAAGGAAAUAUAACUUGGAGAAAACAAAGGAAGAAUGUUACCGCAAGUAGCAGGAGUGAGAGCUCCAUCACCAAUGACCAUACAAGUUCCAAGUAAAACAACAAAAGUAAGAACAUUUUGAGCUGUGGAACUUUUCUCCAGGAACUUCUUAGUUUUUGAACGCCUAGAACUUCCACUCUCUUGGCUGUAAUAAGCCAUGCUCUCAUCAGAUUCCAUCCUAACGUUGUGGAUACUAAGUUUGCUUUGGAAAUUGAUAUGGCGACAGAGAUAUGAAUAGAGAGCAAAAGUACCGCCUUCUCCAUGAUCAUUAGCAUGGAGGACGAUGAAGACAUAUUUGACUAACACAAGCAACGUUAGAGUCCAAAAGAUUAGGCUGAAUGUCCCAAGUAAAUCAUCUUCAGUGAGAUUUGUCAAGCGAGUAGAGGAAAAUACAUUGACAGGAGAAGUGGCAAGGUCCCCAUAUACAACUCCAAGAGAUUGGUAAGCCAACAACAAGGUCUGCAUGGGUGGAUAUUCCUGAGAAAAAUACUCAAAAUCUCAAUAUCCUAUGAAGUGACUUAGAAGUUUCAAGGCAGUAACAAAAAAAAGUGUGAAGUUAUCAGAUUUUAUCGAAACUGGUAGUAGCACUAGCACACAUCGAGGGUAAAAUGAGAACAGGUUGCUUGUGAUGAUUUCAUCAUGUCCUAUGUCAACCUCCAGAUGCACCGGUCUGCAGGAACCAUGAUGACUUAAGGUGUUCAAAAGGAAGAGGUAGUUAUAACUUAAUCACAUGAAGGAAGUUAUCCCGAAAGACCUACACUCUCUUGAAAUCUAUGCAAACCUAGCAAAAGAUCGGGCACAAUGAAAGAAAAGGAUCUAUGUGGAUGAUACCAGUUAGUUGGUUUAAGCUUUAAUUAUGCUAAUAUGUUUACUUUCGAUCCCAAUGUUUGUUGGGAGUUUUUAGGUCUUGUUUGAGAUUUCAUGCGUGGGAAAUGCAGACAGCUUCUAGUGCUACAAAAACUAAUUCUUUAUUAUAUUUGAACUUAGACAAAGCUUAAUUGAGUGACAUGGACAAUGAGAAUUCAUAUAGCCGAGGAUUCACAUAGACGGUCUUAAAUAGAGGGACAGUGGAUAUUUCUUGGAAUAUUGAAGAUGAGAAAAAGUAAAGCUUACCUUAGCUUUGGUUAAGGGAGACUGGUAUGUCUGCAUAACUGUCAUGUAUGUUUCCAUAGCAGGUACUGGUUCUGGAACAACUCUCCUGCUGUUGUUACAAAGGUCAAUACGGUUACUAUCUUCAAGAUUGCUUCUACUUUCAAUAUCAUAGUUCUUUAUGCUGGAAUUGUUGCUUUUAACAUCUUCCAUGUUUUAAAUGCAGGACACUUCCAAUAUUCUAGUUAAGAAGUUGCCGUACAUUGUGUCAUGCUUAUAUAGCUUCAAAAAAGCCUCAAGGACUAUCGAUUUGCAAACAGGGAUAUCGAUUUGGUUGAUCCUAAGAAUAAAACAAAAGAUAUAAGUUAGUGCUGCAAAUUCUAAAAGCCACAAGUUGCUGGAGAGGGAGCAG